AGUGAACGCUGGCGGUAGGCCUAACACAUGCAAGUCGAACGGCAGCACAGUAAGAGCUUGCUCUUACGGGUGGCGAGUGGCGGACGGGUGAGGAAUACAUCGGAAUCUACUUUUUCGUGGGGGAUAACGUAGGGAAACUUACGCUAAUACCGCAUACGACCUACGGGUGAAAGCAGGGGAUCUUCGGACCUUGCGCGAUUGAAUGAGCCGAUGUCGGAUUAGCUAGUUGGCGGGGUAAAGGCCCACCAAGGCGACGAUCCGUAGCUGGUCUGAGAGGAUGAUCAGCCACACUGGAACUGAGACACGGUCCAGACUCCUACGGGAGGCAGCAGUGGGGAAUAUUGGACAAUGGGCGCAAGCCUGAUCCAGCCAUACCGCGUGGGUGAAGAAGGCCUUUGGGUUGUAAAGCCCUUUUGCUGGGAAAGAAAAGCAGCAGGUUAAUACCCCGCUGUUCUGACGGUACCCAAAGAAUAAGCACCGGCUAACUUCGUG
rnacentral:rRNA from 1 species